AUUGAACGCUGGCGGCAUGCCUAACACAUGCAAGUCGAGCGAGCGGCGGACGGGUGUGUGAUGUCUGGGGAACUGCGUGAUGGAGGGGGAUCACUACUGUAAACGGUAGCUAAUACCGCAUACCAUCAAAUGUGCGCAGGUUGGAUUAGCUGGUGGGUGGGGUAACGGCUCACCUAGGCGACGAUCCCUAGCCGUGCUGAGAGGAUGACCAGCCACACGGGAACUGAGACACGGCCCAGACUCCUACGGGAGGCAGCAGUGGGGAAUAUUCCACAAUGGGCGCAAGCCUGAUGCAGCCACGCCGCGUGUGUGAAGAAGGCCUUCGGGUUGUAAAGCACUUUUAGCGGUGAGGCGUUACUCGAAGAAGAAGCAACGGCUAACUCCGUGCCAGCAGCCGCGGUAAUAC
rnacentral:rRNA from 1 species